AUUGAACGCUGGCGGCAUGCCUUACACAUGCAAGUCGAACGGCAGCACGGGUGCUUGCACCUGGUGGCGAGUGGCGAACGGGUGAGUAAUACAUCGGAACGUACCUUAUCGUGGGGGAUAACGCAGCGAAAGUUGCGCUAAUACCGCAUACGCCCUGAGGGGGAAAGCGGGGGACCGUAAGCCUCGCGCGAUUAGAGCGGCCGAUGUCUGAUUAGCUUGUUGGUGAGGUAAAAGCUCACCAAGGCGAUGAUCAGUAGCUGGUCUGAGAGGACGAUCAGCCACACUGGGACUGAGACACGGCCCAGACUCCUACGGGAGGCAGCAGUGGGGAAUUUUGGACAAUGGGGGCAACCCUGAUCCAGCAAUGCCGCGUGAGUGAAGAAGGCCUUCGGGUCGUAAAGCUCUUUUGUCAGGGAAGAAACAGCAGCUCUAACACAGUCUGCGAAUGACGGUACCUGAAGAAUAAGCACCGGCUAACUACGUGCCAGCAGCCGCAGUAA
rnacentral:rRNA from 1 species